CGAUUUGCUUCCGCGUUAUGCGGCCAAGACACGUGGCCUUGUCCGUGACGUACGGAUGCAGAAAUAUAGAACGCAUGCGUGCCCACCCCCCCACUCCGGUCCAACAACAAUAUAAAAUGAUACCGUAAUGCACCUGUUCUUUGUCUUUGGAUCUUUUGAAUAAAUGGAUCAAUACAUGAUGAAUCACAAUGAUCGCAAGCAGAGGACCGUGAGAGUUAUUGAGCAGCAGAUGAACCAGUCCAAAAAUCGGACACGUUAACGGAGCACUGAACUAGGCCCUCUCGGAUGCCAUUUGUUUCACUACGACUCCUUUCAACUGCACACCCCUCUUCCCCCGCGAGAUAAGGGCUAAUAAAACGCUUGAGGUGGCGUUUUGAGGACAUGGCAUGAAGAUGGUUCUACAUUGUCUGCAUUGGAUGGCAUAAACAACAUUGGUGGAAAGCAGCGAGAAGGUCUGCCAGAUGGGAGUUUGCCAAGUUGAAGAUGUAUUUGAGAGAAGUUGGCCCGGUCGGAUGGAAAGAGGGCGGCUACUUCAUGCUUGAUAGUACGGAGAAAGCGUUUGGAGUAACCGCGGGGCCUAAGGGCCUCAAAAAGGGUCCUAGUGGCCUCCACUACAUGUAAAGAAGACUAUGGUGUCCAAAAAGGGGACCUGCUGGAGAUGAAGAGUAUGUUUAAGUGUGAUACGGGGGUGGUGUGAACUAAGAAUGUGAAUAAAGUGAUUUAAUUCUGUCUCGGAUUUAUCCCAUAAGCCAAAAAUGUCAUCAAGGUACCGAUAAUAUAGGAGGGGGCGUGACGGGCAUUUGAGAAGAGCUGAUUCUUCCCAGUCAGCCAAAUAGAUGUCUGUAUAGGCCGGUGAAUA